AGAGUUUGAUCAUGGCUCAGAGCGAACACUGGCGGCGUACUUAACACAUGCAAGUCGAGCGAGGAUCACAGUGUGAGCAAUCAUGUUGUGGUCCUAGCGGCGUACGGGUGAGUAACACGGGGGUAACUUGUCCCCGAGACCGGGAUACCCCCUCGAAAGGGGGGCUAAUACUGGAUACGCUCUUCGGGACGUCGGUUCUGGAGAAGAAAGGUAGCCGCAAGGCUGCCACUCAGGGAGAGACCCGCGGCCUAUCAGCUAGUUGGUAGGGUAACGGCCUACCAAGGCGAUGACGGGUAGCUGGUCUGAGAGGACGACCAGCCACACGGGGACUGAGACACGGCCCCGACUCCUACGGGAGGCAGCAGUGAGGAAUUUUCCGCAAUGGGCGAAAGCCUGACGGAGUGACGCCGCGUGGGGGAUGAAGGCCUUCGGGUCGUAAACCCUUGUCAGGGGGAAAGAUGGGUGUCGGCGUGAACAGCGCCGGCACUUGACGGUACCUCCAGAGGAAGCCCCGGCCAACUCUGUGCCAGCAGCCGCGGUAAGACAGAGGGGGCAAGCGUUGCUCGGAAUUACUGGGCGUAAAGGGCGCGUAGGCGGGAUGGCAAGUCGGCCGUGAAAGCCUCCGGCUCAACCGGAGAAUGUCGGUCGAGACUGCUGUCCUUGAGGGUAGGAGAGGAGACUAGAAUUCCCGGUGUAGCGGUGAAAUGUGUAGAGAUCGGGAGGAAUACCGGUGGCGAAGGCGGGUCUCUGGCCUACAUCUGACGCUGAGGCGCGAAAGCGUGGGGAGCAAACGGGAUUAGAUACCCCGGUAGUCCACGCGGUAAACGAU
rnacentral:rRNA from 1 species